rnacentral:rRNA from 1 species
UACGAAGGGGGCUAGCGUUGCUCGGAAUGACUGGGCGUAAAGGGCGCGUAGGCGGUUCGUACAGUCAGACGUGAAAUUCCCGGGCUCAACCUGGGGACUGCGUUUGAUACGUGCGGGCUUGAGUUCGGAAGAGGGUCGUGGAAUUCCCAGUGUAGAGGUGAAAUUCGUAGAUAUUAGGAAGAACACCAGUGGCGAAGGCGGCUCACUGGCCCGGUACUGACGCUGAGGCGCGAAAGCGUGGGGAGCAAACAGG